rnacentral:rRNA from 2 species
UCCUCCUAAAGAGUAACGGAGGAGCACGAAGGUUGGCUAAUCCUGGUCGGACAUCAGGAGGUUAGUGCAAUGGCAUAAGCCAGCUUGACUGCGAGCGUGACGGCGCGAGCAGGUGCGAAAGCAGGUCAUAGUGAUCCGGUGGUUCUGAAUGGAAGGGCCAUCGCUCAACGGAUAAAAGGUACUCCGGGGAUAACAGGCUGAUACCGCCCAAGAGUUCAUAUCGACGGCGGUGUUUGGCACCUCGAUGUCGGCUCAUCACAUCCUGGGGCUGAAGUAGGUCCCAAGGGUAUGGCUGUUCGCCAUUUAAAGUGGUACGCGAGCUGGGUUUAGAACGUCGUGAGACAGUUCGGUCCCUAUCUGCCGUGGGCGCUGGAGAACUGAGGGGGGCUGCUCCUAGUACGAGAGGACCGGAGUGGACGCAUCACUGGUGUUCGGGUUGUCAUGCCAAUGGCACUGCCCGGUAGCUAAAUGCGGAAGAGAUAAGUGCUGAAAGCAUCUAAGCACGAAACUUGCCCCGAGAUGAGUUCUCCCUGAGACUUAGAGUCUCCUGAAGGAACGUUGAAGACGACGACGUUGAUAGGCCGGGUGUGUAAGCGCAGCGAUGCGUUGAGCUAACCGGUACUAAUGAACCGUGAGGCUUAACCUUACA